rnacentral:rRNA from 1 species
UACGAAGGGGGCUAGCGUUGUUCGGAUUUACUGGGCGUAAAGCGCACGUAGGCGGAUCUUUAAGUCAGAGGUGAAAUCCCAAGGCUCAACCUUGGAACUGCCUUUGAUACUGGGGAUCUUGAGUCCGGGAGAGGUGAGUGGAACUGCGAGUGUAGAGGUGAAAUUCGUAGAUAUUCGGAGGAACACCAGUGGCGAAGGCGGCUCACUGGUCCAUUACUGACGCUGAGGUGCGAAAGCGUGGGGAGCAAACAGG